CUAGCGACUUCAGAGUUUGAUCCUGGCUCAGGAUGAACGCUGGCGGCGUGCCUAACACAUGCAAGUCGAACGAAGCAUGAUUGAAGGAGACUUCGGUCAAUGGAUAUCAUGACUUAGUGGCGGACGGGUGAGUAAUACAUGAGCAACCUGCCUUUCAGAGGGGGACAACAGCUGGAAACGGCUGCUAAUACCGCAUAACGUGCGGAAGGGGCAUCCCUUUUGUACCAAAGGAGCAAUCCGCUGAAAGAUGGGCUCAUGACUGAUUAGUUAGUUGGCAGGGCAACGGCCUACCAAGACUGCGAUCAGUAGCCGGACUGAGAGGUUGAACGGCCACAUUGGGACUGAGAUACGGCCCAG
rnacentral:rRNA from 1 species